AUGGCUGAAGAAGAAAAAGGUGCUGCGUUCGGUAACUCGGUUCAGUCCAACGAACCCGAAGUGUCUGGAUCAGUUGGAGGUUCUGUGACACUCAGCUGUUCUUACACCACCAGCGAUAGCUAUGUCUAUCUCUACUGGUACCGUCACUAUCCGAACCAAGCCCCGCAGUACAUUCUCUAUAGAGGAGCGAAGUCCGCCAGCCACCUAAGUGACACUGCAAGUUUCGCCCAGGAGAGGUUUUCGUCCCAGGCUGAUGACAGCUCCACAGUUCUGAGCAUCGCAGCCCUGGAGCUGGCGGACACAGCGGUGUAUCUCUGCGCCCUGAGUCUGGCACAGUGA